rnacentral:rRNA from 1 species
UACGGGGGGGGCAAGCGUUGUUCGGAAUUACUGGGCGUAAAGGGCUCGUAGGCGGCCAACUAAGUCGGAUGUGGAAAUCUCCGGGCUUAACCCGGAAAGGUCAGCCGAUACUGCGGGGCUAGAGUGCAGAAGGGGCAACUGGAAUUCUCGGUGUAGCGGUGAAAUGCGUAGAUAUCGAGAGAACGACCUGCGGCGAAGGCGGGUGCUGG